AAUACCGCAUAAUGUCUACGGACCAAAGGGGGCAUNUCGUCUCGCCUUUAGAUUGGCCCAAGUGGGAUUAGCCAGUUGGUGAGGUAAUGGCUCACCAAGGCGACGAUCCCUAGCUGGUUUGAGAGGAUGAUCAGCCACACUGGGACUGAGACACGGCCCAGACUCCUACGGGAGGCAGCAGUGGGGAAUAUUGCACAAUGGGCGCAAGCCUGAUGCAGCCAUGCCGCGUGUGUGAAGAAGGCCUUCGGGUUGUAAAGCACUUUCAGUCAGGAGGAAAGGUUAGUAGUUAAUACCUGCUAGCUGUGACGUUACUGACAGAAGAAGCACCGC
rnacentral:rRNA from 1 species